UGAGAUUUGUACUCGUGCUUAAAAUCCGUCCAAUCGGUAGUCACCUUUCCCCUAAGUAUCGGGAUUGACAACUCAUCCAUUAAGGAUAAUUCGAUUUUAAGACAAAAAGAGCUUGUUCGGUUGGAGUCGUGUUUUUUGACAGUUGGAGAAACAAAUCGGCCGUGCUGCAUUUGAAUCUCCGAGAACAAAUCGAGGAGGUGAUCGAGUUUAAACGACCCACGCAGUUGAGGCUGUUAAUUCGAGUUGGGUUCUUCAGAACGCAAGGCUGCUGAAAUCUUGAAUCGAGAACACGUGUAUCUCAGUUAGACUAUCGGUAAGGGUUGGUUUGCAG
rnacentral:lncRNA from 1 species